AUUGAACGCUGGCGGCAGGCCUAACACAUGCAAGUCGAACGAGUGGCGGACGGGUGAGUAAUGUCUGGGAAACUGCCUGAUGGAGGGGGCUAACUCCUGGAAACGGUAGCUAAUCCCGCAUCCCAUCAGAUGUGCCCAGAUGGGAUUAGCUAGUUGGUGGGGUAACGGCUCCCCAAGGCGACGAUCCCUAGCUGGUCUGAGAGGAUGACCAGCCACACGGGAACUGAGACACGGUCCAGACUCCUACGGGAGGCAGCAGGGGGGAAGAUGGCACAAUGGGCGCAAGCCUGAUGCAGCCAUGCCGGGUGGAUGAAGAAGGCCGUCGGGUUGUAAAGGACUUUCAGCGGGGAGGCGUUACCCGCAGAAGAAGCACCGGCUAACUCCGUGCCAGCCGCCGCGGUAAUUC
rnacentral:rRNA from 1 species